GACGAACGCUGGCGGCGUGCUUAACACAUGCAAGUCGAACGGAAAGGCCCUGCUUUUGUGGGGUGCUCGAGUGGCGAACGGGUGAGUAACACGUGAGUAACCUGCCCUUGACUUUGGGAUAACUUCAGGAAAUUGGGGCUAAUACCGGAUAGGAGCUCCUGCUGCAUGGUGGGGGUUGGAAAGUUUCGGCGGUUGGGGAUGGACUCGCGGCUUAUCAGCUUGUUGGUGGGGUAGUGGCUUACCAAGGCUUUGACGGGUAGCCGGCCUGAGAGGGUGACCGGCCACAUAGGGACUGAGAUACGGCCCAGACUCCUACGGGAGGCAGCAGUGGGGAAUAUUGCACAAAGGGCGGAAGCCUGAUGCAGCAACGCCGCGUGCGGGAUGACGGCCUUCGGGUUGUAAACCGCUUUCGCCUGUGACGAAGCGUGAGUGACGGUAAUGGGUAAAGAAGCACCGGCUAACUACGUG
rnacentral:rRNA from 1 species